rnacentral:lncRNA from 12 species
AAAAUUUCUAUUGCAUGUAUGGAAGGACAGCAGAAAUCUGUCAGCACAGCUAAGCACAUAUUUGGCAAGAAUGUCAUGUUGGAUGACACACAUGGCUAUUUUGUGAUUGGUGGAGGUAAAUUCAUACGAGGCAUUGAAGGAUAUUAUGGACCAGCUACAUACUAUCAUAUACAGGGGCCCCCAGCUGAUCAGGUAGGAUACGGUAGCAUUUUUUAAUAUUCAAUUUUAUUAUAAAUUUAGAUUUAGUAUAUGCAUUCACUGGGAAUCAAUCCUAUGAUUUUGGCAUUGCUCAAUAUAAAUUUGGACUGAGCAUAAUGAUAUUUUACGUCUUCGCAGGCGGAGAUUCACCUUCCUCUUGUAAAAUCAAAAGUGAAUAUAACCAGAUGGUUCCAGUCUGGAGAAAAUUUCAAAUCAGGGCUUUUUCUGUCUGCAGCAGAUCACUAGCUCACUGUGAAGAGACUGUCAGACAGCUGUUUGUACACAAAGCUGCUACUGAAUCACAGUACAGUCAGCUCAACUGAGCAGUGUAUGUUCUUCGAAUCGCCGACAAAUCCUUGCAGACACCGAGUUGCACAGUUGACCAAACUACUGGCACAGAAAUAUGGGGUCCAUUCCCACUGUCACUGCUCUGGGCUGGUACUAUGAGCAGUAUGAGAAGGAUUACGAGAAGGCCGCACAUCUGUGGGAAGAAGCUGAUGCCAAAUGUCACCCUGAAGCUGCCAUGAAUUUGCGAGUUUUCUACUCUCAGGGCCUCUAUCCUGGACAACUUGCCGACCAGGUAAACACUCUGCUCAACAUGCUUACGUGCUUCAAACCUCUAAUUAAUCUAAUAAAGAGUUUCUUUAACUAUGACUUAGCUUGCUCAUCAGUUCAUCAUGUGUGUGUGUGUGUGUGUGUGUGUGUUGUGUGUGUGUGUGUGUGUGUGUGUGUGUGUGUGUGUGUGUGUGUGUGUGUGUGUGUGUGUGUGUGUGUGUGUGUGUGUGUGUGUUCAUUUUGA